GACGAACAAAAGACACACAGACGGACCGGGGAAGGGGAGAAUGAGACACACAUAGGAGCUGUGGGGAGAGACACACACAGAGGUGCUGCUGCCUGGGAAAGAGACUAACAUAAGGGCUGGGGAAGGGGAGAGAGAAAUAAAGGGACUGGAGCUAAGAGACACAUGAAAAGGGCUUGGGGGAGAAAGACACAAACAAAUUGCAUCUUCCCUUGUGUCUCC